AAAAAUUUUGAACAACUCACUCGCAUACGCUCGUUGCAUAACGACAGCCCUUGAACUUUAAGCUUCUGUUUUCGUAUUAUUAAUAACAGAAAAAUGGGUUUACAAAAUAAUGAGUGAUGAACUCGUUUUUUUUUAAGUUGUUAUAAUUUUUUAACCAAAAUAUUGGCUUUUUGGACCUAAAUAGGUGACAACAUGUGAUACAGAUGGCUGGGAAGUUUGAUUGGUUUGGUGGGUGUUGCUAAAUAUUGAAAUGCGAAUAAGUUAUUGAAAACGGUUUCGUUCGUCGGUAAUCAAUUCCUCUUAAUACCGCGUCGACGUAGUUCUAUUGUUACCCGUCGUUACCUAAGGCCGAUGUUAAUGAGGAAAUUGUUACAAGAGUGAUACGUUUCCCGUCCCUGGGGCGCCGUAGUCUCCGAUGAGCUUUUCCUGCACGUUGUAGGAAAACUUUUAAAUACAGCGCACUUUAUUUAUUGGCGUUGUUGUCUGAAGCGCAGAAAAUUGCAGAUCGUUUAGUUGUUUUUUUCGCUCUCUCUCUCGCCGUAACAAUUUCGAGCUUUGAUUAAAUAAGAAGGGGGUCUCUGUUCGGCGGCAAUUUUCCAGCCGGCUGCUGGAUCGGAACACGGGUUUCCGAUCAACAACGCCUGGGAGAUCACAGCACACGUGGUGCACUCUCCCCGGCCCCUUUGUGGCCGAUAAUCGUCUGAUGUGAUUUCAUAGAUGAACUGUCCCGGACGACACAACAGUAUUACGGGGGGCGGUUUUAAACGAGCCGAAACAAAGUUGGUUUAAAGGCAUCCAGCCGACUAACCCGCCGACACUGCAGAUGGAUCAGGUGAGAGUCUUUGAAACGGCGGCGGCGGUUUGGGGCCACCGCCGCCCCCGGCUCGUUAUUGAAUGGCGCGCUGUGGCUGUUUGCCAGAUAGGGAGAACACGCGAACACGAUGACAACACAAUGAGCCUUUAGAUUACAUUGUAAGCGGCCCUCGCCGCCCCACUGCGCUUCUGACACUUUUCGGGGGCGCCGAACAACCCCAAACUUAAUUGUUGCCGCAAAAAUGGGGCCCGCCCCAGCUCUGUGUUUCCACAAUUCGAAAUAAUUUUAUUUUCUAGAUAACUAGCAAUUUAAAACAAGUUGAAGGGUUGUUUACGACAGAAAUCCAUCUCUAACGAGCUCGUCAGAGGUGCAAAAAAUGUUAUUUGCUUGUUAGCUUAGAAGAUUAGGACUGUGCAUUUGUUUACGCAGAGAAAAUCAAGAAUUUUUUUACAUCUUUAUUAUUUUUUUUGUCUUGCUGUUUGAGAAUGAAAGUGUGGUGGCGUUUAAAGUUUCCAAUUAUGCAAAGUGGUGUGUGGGGAUGAUUAUCUGUGUGCGUAUUGUGCGAAGGUCUGUAGCUAAUUUAAAAUGUUUGAAAUUCGGUCGUCGGCGUCCAGUCGGGAGCUUUGUGGGGCUUUGGUGGACCAGAUAUUGUGGAAAAGCGCGUUCGAAUUCAAUUUCCAUUUUAAGUUAAGUUUGGCGCCUGGAGCGGCGAUCAGAAGAAGAGAGAAAUGAUGUAUGUGGGAGAUGGAAAUAGAUAUAAGAGGGAUUGCGUUGCAGAAAUGAAUGAUGAGUAUACUCAUAGUCGUCCAGACGUGCAACGUCGAUCCUCCGGAAGACCGGACGUGGAGGAAAUGCGACGUGUCGCUGUACGCAACGUCAGAAUCCCGGAUUCGUUGUAUAACCGGAACGCUAGGGAAAAUUGUGUGUGCGAAUGAUUCGGCGGAUCUGAUUUAAAGGCUGACACUUGAGAGUUUCGGAGAAUAACAGUAGCCGUGAUUAGGGGAUUCGGCGAGUGCUGAGGCUCUGAGCUUACCACCAGGUCCAAAUCCCUUUGUGGAUGAUUAAACAGACGGCCGAAACACUACGUAUACGUUUUAAGCUUGCCAAACCGAAACUGUGAUGAUGGAACUGCACGAAUUGGAAGCUGAAUCAGACAGCUAAACAAGAGAUGCCAUCUUCCGGAAAUGAGAAUUUGAACAGGAGUUUAGCAGCUAGGUAUCAAGAAAUGAACAAAUACGGAAAGCCCCACUGAAGAUAAUAUUAUAUUAUAUUUAUACAUUUAUUAUAUUUUUUUAAUAAUUUUAUAAAUUUCAACU